AGACCCCUCACCAGCUUUGUUGCCCUCCUCUGGACACGCUCCAGGGCCUCAAUGUCUUUCUUGUAGAGAGGGGCCCAAAACUGAACACAGUACUCAAGGUGAGGCCUCACCAAUGCCGAGUACAGGGGCAGGAUGACUUUCCUAGUCCUGCUCACCAUACCAUUCCUGAUACAAGCCAGGAUGCCAUUGGCCUUCUUGGCCACCUGGGCACACUGCUGGCUCAUAUUCAGCCGACUGUCCAACAGUACACCAAGGUCCCUUUCCAUCAGGCAGCUUUCCAGCCACACCUCCCCAAGCCUGUAGGGUUGCCUGGGGUUCUUGUGACCAAAAUGCAGGACCCGACACUUGGCCCUUUUGAAACUCAUGCAGUUAACCUUGGCCAUCGAUCCAGUCUAUCCAGAGCCCUCUGUAAUGCCCUUCUCCCCUCUGGCAGAUCAACACUCCCUCCCAGCUUGGUGUUGUCUGCAAACUUACUGAGGGUGCACUCAAUCCCCUCAUCAAGAUCAUCAAUGAAGAUGUUAAACAGAAGCGGCUCCAGCACUGAGCCUUGGGGCACACCACUCAUGACCGGCCACCAACUGGAUUCAACUCCAUUGACCACUACUCUUUGGGCCCGGCCAUCCAGCCAGUGCUUCACCCAGCAGAGCAUACACCCAUCCAGACCAUGGGCAGCCAGCUUCUCCAUGAGAAUGUUAUGGGGGACAGUGUCAAAGGCUUUACUGAAGUCCAGGUAGACCAAAUCGACAGCCUUACCCUCAUCCACUAAGCGGGUCACCUUGUCAUAGAAUGAAAUCAGGUUUGUCAGACAGGAUCUACUGUUUGUAAACCCAUGCUGACUGGGCCUGAUCCCCUGGUUGACCUUUAACUGGUCCAUGAUGGCUCCCCAGAUUAUCCAUUCCAUAACCCUCCC
ensembl:lncRNA